rnacentral:rRNA from 1 species
UACGAAGGGGGCUAGCGUUGUUCGGAAUCACUGGGCGUAAAGCACACGCAGGCGGAUCGAUAAGUCGGGGGUGAAAGCCCGGGGCUCAAACUCGGAAUUGCCUUCGAUACUGUCGGUCUCGAGUCCGGGAGAGGUGAGUGGAAUUCCUAGUGUAGAGGUGAAAUUCGUAGAUAUUAGGAAGAACACCAGUGGCCAAGGCGGCUCACUGGCCCGGUACUGACGCUCAGGUGCGAAAGCGUGGGGAGCAAACAGG